ACUGCAAAGGAGCUAAGAAAUAAUGUCACUUUAGUCAUAAGGGCAACAUUAGUAGUUUGUGCAUAAUUCAAAACUGUUGUUUCAGCACUCCUCAAGGCUGCAAGAAAGAUUAAUUUUAGAGAUAUUUGAAGCCAAAUAGCCUGCAACUGAAAGAUUGGUGAUCUAGGCCUUGCAGCAAUCAUACAGGGUUCUCAAUCAGCACAUAAUGUCAUAGUAGCAUUUGUUAGGCACCCUAGAAUUCAUGGCACCAGAAUUAUACGAAUGGGAUUACAAUAAGCUUGUUGAUAUUUACUCAAUUUGGUAGGUGUGUUUUAGAGAUGCUUACAUCUGAAUACCUUUAUGGUGAAUGUGUUAACCCGGCACAAAUUUACAAGAAAGCGACUUCGGUAAAUCAUGAUGCCAAGAUUUAUAAUUAUUAUCAAGCUAGAGUAUGACAUUCAUACCAUUUCAGUUAUGCAGGGAAAGCUUUCUGCUGCAUUCUAUCAGAUUCAGGACUUAAAGAAGAGCGGCUUAUUGAUGCCUAUCAUACAUUCAACUACCAAGAAGAUGAUGGGACUAAUCAUCCUUUCAAUUCUUUCUCCUUUUGUUCAUUAUCUCAAGCAUCCA